ensembl:lncRNA
CAAACCAUAGACAAGAAGUGUUUUGUUGGAAGGCUUCACAAAUAUGGAGCUGAUUACUGCUAGGCAGCGCAGAUUUCCUUCUGUAAGAUGGGACUGAUAGAAUUCCUUCCUGACAGCUAGAAAUUAUAAUUGGGCUGGGUGUGGUUUUUUUUCUGUGUUUUAAACUUUACCAGCCUUCAAAAUGAAGAAGAAAGAUGGAAUCCUGACCCAUCUGCACUCAAUGGGAAUUCUGCCUGCGAGCCAGGAUUUCAGUCUAAUAUCCAUCCAGCUGCCCAGGACUGGAGGUGCUGCUAACAGCUUCAGAGCUGUGCUUUUGUCAAGCAUUUAACUCCGUGUGGAUUGAAACAUCUCCCACAGAAAUGUGCGCUAAUUACCUGUAACUCCGAGUGCCACUAAAGAGAUUGCAUUGCACAGUAGCGUGGAGGAGCCUGCCCAAGUGUCUGCCCUGGAGAAUCUGUGAUCACGGGGAAAAUCUUCAGCUUCAGCACACGUGACCCAUUUUCUCCACAUGGAGGUCAUUCUUCUGAUUUCAUCAUCCCUUUUGGAUGGCUGAAGAGAGAAAGGAAGGCGCUAGAUAUAUGUAUUCUGGUUUCUCAC